rnacentral:rRNA from 1 species
UUGACCUCAAAUCGCGUAAGGAUACCCACUGAACUUAACAUAUCAAUAAGCGGAGGAAAAGAACCAACCCGGAUACCUCGAUAACGGCAAGUGAAGCGGUAACAGCUCAAAUUUGAAAUCUGGCUCCCUGCGGAGUCCGAGUUGUAAUUUGUAGAAGAUGCUUUGGGUGCGUGGCCCGGCCUAAGUUCCUUGGAACAGGACGUCGUAGAGGGUGAGAAUCCCGUAUGCGGCCGGGGCGCCUGCCCGUGUAAAGCUCUUUCGACGAGUCGAGUUGUUUGGGAAUGCAGCUCAAAAUGGGUGGUAAAUUUCAUCUAAAGCUAAAUAUGGGCCAGAGACCGAUAGCGCACAAGUAGAGUGAUCGAAAGAUGAAAAGCACUUUGGAAAGAGAGUUAAACAGUACGUGAAAUUGUUGAAAGGGAAGCGCUUGCAACCAGACUUGGGCGUCGCUGAUCAUCCAAAGUUUCCUUUGGUGCACUCGGCGAGGCACAGGCCAGCAUCGGUUGGGGUGGUGGGAGAAAGGUCGUGGGAACGUAGCUCCUUUCGGGGAGUGUUAUAGCCUGCGGCGCAAUACCACCUACUCCGACCGAGGACCGCGCUUCGGCUAGGAUGCUGGCGUAAUGGUUGUAAGCGACCCGUCUUGAAACACGGACCAAGGAGUCUAACAUCUAUGCGAGUGUUUGGGUGCAAAACCCAUACGCGUAAUGAAAGUGANCGUAGGUGAGAACCCUUCGAGGGGGCAUCAU